rnacentral:rRNA from 1 species
CAGCCGCCGCGGUAAUACGAAAGGUCCAAGCGUUACUCGGAAUUACUGGGCGUAAAGCGCGCGUAGGCGGCUUUGUAUGUCGAUUGUGAAAGCCCCGGGCUCAACCUGGGAACUGCAGUCGAAACUGCAAAGCUUGAAUGUUGGAGAGGUUGGGGGAAUACCUAGUGGAGAAGUGAAAUUCGUAGAGAUUAGGUGGAACACCAGAGGCGAAGGCGCCUGACUGGCCAAACAUUGACGCUGAGGCGCGAAAGCGUGGGUAGCAAACAGGAUUAGAUACCCCCGUAGUCCCUGUCUCUUAUAC